GACAGAGGAGCCAAGCGUUGUCCGGAUUGACUGGGCGUAAAGCGCACGCAGGCGGUCGCGCGCGGGGGGGGUGAAAUCUGGCCGCUUAACGGCCAGGCGCCAUCCCAUACGGCGCGACUGGAGUGAUGCAGAGGUCGAUGGAAUUGCCGGUGUAGUGGUGAAAUGCGUAGAGAUCGGCAGGAACACCCAGGGGGAAACCAGUCGACUGGGCAUCUACUGACGCUGAGGUGCGAGAGCGUGGGGAGCGAACCGG
rnacentral:rRNA from 1 species